CCUACGGGAGGCAGCAGUCGGGAAUAUUGCGCAAUGGAGGAAACUCUGACGCAGUGACGCCGCGUAUAGGAAGAAGGUCUUCGGAUUGUAAACUCUUGUCGUUAGGGAAGAGAAAGGACAGUACCUAAGGAGGAAGCUCCGGCUAACUACGUGCCAGCAGCCGCGGUAAUAUGUAGGGAGCGAGGGUUAUCCGGAUUUAUUGGGUGUAAAGGGGGCGUAGACGGGAAGAUAAGUCAGUUGUGAAAUCCCUCGGCUCAACUGAGGAACUGCAGCUGAAACUGUUUUUCUUGAGUGCAGGAGAGGAAAGUGGAAUUCCUGGUGUAGCGGUGAAAUGCGUAGAGAUUAGGAGGAACACCAGUGGCGAAGGCGACUUUCUGGACUGUAACUGACGUUGAGGCACGAAAGUGUGGGGAGCAAACAGGAUUAGAUACCCGAGUAGUC
rnacentral:rRNA from 1 species